GCUUUUUGUUGUCUAUCCUGGCAAGUGCGGGGGGGGUGGGAACGUGAACAGCUACACUGCAUAGAUAUAUGUACAUAUAUGUAUAUGUUUAUGUAGAUAUGUAUGUAAACUCAAUAAAAACUUUUAAUGUUUGUUGUUUGUCUCUCAAUUUUGUUUGGCGCACGCAUCACGCAUACGCCCCGCUUCUUCUUUAAUGAGUUGGCCAGGCUUUAGUGGCGGAGAAAAGCAUUUUGGCCCUAAUUAAUGUCAACAGCGUCAGAUGUGUGGCAUUGCCCAAUGCGUGUGGUGCUGGCCGUAUCUUCCUCUGUGUGUGGAUGAUCAUUUUGGCAACAUGUUUAUCCGGCCGAAUGCCCAUAUAUUAAUGCCCACACGCACACACACACACACACACACAUUCCGUUGGAUUGUCACAUUAAUUAUGUACGUUAAGCUGUCAACGUGGCCAAUAUUUUCGUAGCCUCUAUGUCUAUGUCCUGCUGCUUGUGUGUUUUCCUCCUCAAAUUGUUUGCCAUUUUUCUUGCCAUCGAUAAGAGCGUUCGUCUUGGCUUAUCGCUCGCUUGUCUCUUGCUAUUUGGCAUCAUAUAGGGGGGAUGCCUGCUGACAAGCAAAUCGAUUUGGCA
rnacentral:lncRNA from 1 species